AUGAGCGGCGGCGACCAGCUCCUCCAGAUGGAGACGGCGUGCGGCGCCCUCAUGCGCGAGCUCCAGGUCAUCUGGGACGAGAUCGGGGAGCAGGGCGCCGCGAGGGACACGAUGCUGCUCCAGCUCCAGCAGGAGUGCCUCGACGCCUACCGGAGGAAGGUGGACCAGGCCAGCCGCUGCCGGGCCCAGCUGCGCCAGGCCAUCGCCGACGCCCAGGCCGAGCUCGCCGCCGUCUGCUCCGCCAUGGCCGAGCCGCCCGUCCUCGUCAGGCAGAAAGGAUGCGGCUUACGGGAGGAACUAAGUGCAAUCGUCCCAUAUUUGGAAGAGAUGAAGAAGAGAAAGGCCGAAAGAUGGAAUCAGAUUCUUGAUGUUAUAGGCAAGAUAAAGAAGAUAUCAUCUGAGAUCAGACCUGCAGAUUUUGUCCCUUUUAAAGCACCUGUGGAUCAAUCUGAUCUAUCCUGCAGAAGGCUAGAAGAGUUAAGAAUGGAGCUGCAGUCCCUAGAGAAAGAGAAGAGUGAGCGGCUAAAGCAAGUAAUGGAUUACCUGAAUACUUUGCAUUCCUUAUGUAAAGUACUUGCCGUUGACUUCAAACAAACAAUAUCUGAUGUACACCCCAGUCUCGAUGAGGAUGGCGUACCAAUGAACAUAAGCAACACCACAAUUGAGAGGUUGGCGUUGGCAAUACAGAGACUACGGGAAACAAAAAUUGAAAGGAUGCAGAAGCUUCAAGAUCUCUCGUCUACAAUGCUCGAACUAUGGAAUCUUAUGGAUACGCCGAUAGAAGAGCAACAGUCAUUCCAGAAUAUAACAUGCAAUAUUGCUGCAUCAGAACCUGAAAUAACAGAGGCCAAUGCCCUUUCCAUUGAUGUCAUGAACUUUGUAGAAGCUGAGGUAUUGAGGCUUGAGCAACUGAAAGUCAGUAAAAUGAAGGACUUAGUUCUUAAGAAGCAAACAGAACUAGAAGAGCAUCGUCGACGGGCGCAUUUGGUUGGAGAUGAACAUUAUGCAACUCAGUUCAAUAUCGAGGCCAUUGAAGCAGGUGCUAUUGAUCCCUCACUUCUUCUAGAACAAAUCGAGGCAUACAUCGCAACAGUUAAAGAAGAUGCUUUUAGCAGGAAGGAUAUACUUGAGCGAGUUGAAAGGUGGCUAAAUGCAUGUGAGGAGGAAGCUUGGUUAGAGGAUUACAGCAAAGAUGAUAACCGAUAUAAUGCUGGGAGGGGUGCACAUAUUAUGCUCAAGAGAGCUGAAAAAGCCCGUGUUUUGGUUAACAAGAUACCAGGAAUUGUGGACGUUCUUACAAACAAAGUUCUAGCUUGGGAGAAAGAAAGGGGCACUGAGUUUACUUACGAUGGUGUUAGUCUUUUGUCGAUGCUUGAUGAUUAUAGGAUAGUUCGUGAAGAAAAGGAGCAGGAAAAGAAGAGACAAAGGGAUCAGAAGAAGCUUGAGGAUCAAUUCAAAGCUGAGCAGGAGAUGCUGUACGGAUCAAAGCCGAGCCCUUCAUCAAGGUCGAACAGCGGGAAGAAGCUUACCAGAAACCCCUUGGCUGGUACAAACCGGAGGCUGUCUGUCGGCGGAGGACCAGUGCGAACUCCAAAAUCAUUGACACCUCAGUCAAGAUCCGUCCGUUCAGCCAAGAAGACAGAAGAUAGUGGCACUCUGUCCCCUGGCAAUAGAGGCAAAGGCACUGCCAGUCCUCCGAUCAAGAAGUUAUCAUUCAAGGCAAGUACUCUUGGUGAGACUGAAACCCCUCGUAAACCCUUCACGCAGAUCACACCCGGAAAUAGCAUCCAAUCGACGCCCGUGCGGUCUGCCUCCAAUGGUACCGAAGGCGAGAACCGAACUCCCAAGAUACUCGCAGCACCAAGUCCUAGGACGCCGAUGACGGUGACCUCUCCUAUGCAAAUGACCACAACGCCUGCUCUGACUGCCGCAAGAGCUGCACCUGUCUGCGUCUCCAAUGACAAGCCGGAGCUGUGUUUGCUAGAGAGCACCGAGUACUCCUUUGAAGAGAGGCGCCUUGCCUAUCUCGCUGCGCAUGCCGCUUGA
rnacentral:rRNA from 1 species